rnacentral:rRNA from 1 species
UUCGCCCUUAGAGUUUGAUUCUGGCUCAGGAUGAACGCUGGCGGCGUGCCUAACACAUGCAAGUCGAACGGGGCUGUUUGAAAGAUCUUUUCGGAGUGAUUUCUUACAGCUUAGUGGCGGACGGGUGAGUAACGCGUGGAUAACCUGCCUUUCACAGGGGGAUAGCAGCUGGAAACGGCUGGUAAUACCGCAUACGCUCUUAAGACCGCAUGAUCUUAAGAGGAAAGAUUUAUCGGUGAGAGAUGGAUCCGCGUCUGAUUAGCCAGUUGGCGGGGUAACGGCCCACCAAAGCGACGAUCAGUAGCCGGCCUGAGAGGGCGGACGGCCACAUUGGGACUGAGACACGGCCCAGACUCCUACGGGAGGCAGCAGUGGGGGAUAUUGCACAAUGGGCGCAAGCCUGAUGCAGCGACGCCGCGUGAGUGAAGAAGUAUUUCGGUAUGUAAAGCUCUAUCAGCAGGGAAGAAAGGCUCGCAAGAGAGAUGACGGUACCUGACUAAGAAGCCCCGGCUAACUACGUGCCAGCAGCCGCGGUAAUACGUAGGGGGCAAGCGUUAUCCGGAUUUACUGGGUGUAAAGGGAGCGCAGACGGAACUGCAAGUCUGAUGUGAAAGCCCGGGGCUCAACCGCGGGACUGCAUUGGAAACUGUAGAUCUGGAGUGCCGGAGGGGCAAGCGGAAUUCCUGGUGUAGCGGUGAAAUGCGUAGAUAUCAGGAGGAACACCGGCGGCGAAGGCGGCUUGCUGGACGGCAACUGACGCUGAGGCGCGAAAGCGUGGGGAGCGAACAGGAUUAGAUACCCUGGUAGUCCACACUGUAAACGAUGAAUACUAGGUGUGGGGGGACUGACCCCCUUCCGUGCCGGAGUUAACACAAUAAGUAUUCCACCUGGGGAGUACGACCGCAAGGUUGAAACUCAAAGGAAUUGACGGGGGCCCGCACAAGCAGUGGAGUAUGUGGUUUAAUUCGAAGCAACGCGAAGAACCUUACCAGGUCUUGACAUCCGACUAACGAAGUAGAGAUACAUUAGGUGCCCUUCGGGGAAAGUCGAGACAGGUGGUGCAUGGUUGUCGUCAGCUCGUGUCGUGAGACGUUGGGUUAAGUCCCGCAACGAGCGCAACCCCUGCCAAUAGUUGCUACGCAAGAGCACUCUAUUGGGACCGCUACCGACAAGGUGGAGGAAGGUGGGGAUGACGUCAAAUCAUCAUGCCCUUUAUGACCUGGGCUACACACGUACUACAAUGGUCGUUAACAGAGGGAAGCAAUACCGCGAGGUGGAGCAAAUCCCUAAAAACGAUCCCAGUUCAGAUUGUAGGCUGCAACUCGCCUAUAUGAAGUUGGAAUUGCUAGUAAUCGCGGAUCAGCAUGCCGCGGUGAAUACAAUCCCGGGCCUUGUACUCACCGCCCGUCA